GACGAACGCUGGCGGCGUGCCUAAUACAUGCAAGUUGAGCGAUGAAGUUUGGUGCUUGCACCAAUUUGAAGAGCAGCGAACGGGUGAGUAACGCGUGGGGAAUCUGCCUUUGAGCGGGGGACAACAUUUGGAAACGAAUGCUAAUACCGCAUAACAACUUUAAACAUAAGUUUUAAGUUUGAAAGAUGCAAUUGCAUCACUCAAAGAUGAUCCCGCGUUGUAUUAGCUAGUUGGUGAGGUAAAGGCUCACCAAGGCGAGGAUACAUAGCCGACCUGAGAGGGGGAUCGGCCACAUUGGGACUGAGACACGGCCCAAACUCCUACGGGAGGCAGCAGUAGGGAAUCUUCGGCAAUGGACGAAAGUCUGACCGAGCAACGCCGCGUGAGUGAAGAAGGUUUUCGGAUCGUAAAACUCUGUUGGUAGAGAAGAACGUUGGUGAGAGUGGAAAGCUCAUCAAGUGACGGUAACUACCCAGAAAGGGACGGCUAACUACGUG
rnacentral:rRNA from 1 species